rnacentral:rRNA from 1 species
UACGUAGGGUGCAAGCGUUGUCCGGAAUUAUUGGGCGUAAAGAGCUCGUAGGCGGUCUGUUGCGUCGGCUGUGAAAACCCGUGGCUCAACCUCGGGCCUGCAGCCGAUACGGGCAGACUAGAGUUCGGCAGGGGAGACUGGAAUUCCUGGUGUAGCGGUGAAAUGCGCAGAUAUCAGGAGGAACACCGGUGGCGAAGGCGGGUCUCUGGGCCGAUACUGACGCUGAGGAGCGAAAGCGUGGGGAGCGAACAGG